rnacentral:rRNA from 1 species
CCUACGGGGGGCAGCAGUGAGGAAUAUUGGUCAAUGGGCGCAAGCCUGAACCAGCCACGUAGCGUGAAUGAUGACUGCCCUCCGGGUUUUAAGCUUCUUUUAUAAAGGAAUAAAGUGAGGCACGUGUGCCUUUUUGCAUGUACUUUAUGAAUAAGGAUCGGCUAACUACGUGCCAGCAGCCGCGGUAAUACGGAGGUUCCGAGCGUUAUCCGGAUUUAUUGGGUUUAAAGGGAGCGUAGAUGGGUUGUUAAGUCAGUUGUGAAAGUUUGCGGCUCAACCGUAAAAUUGCAAUUGAUACUGGCAGUCUUGAGUACAGGAGAGGUAGGCGGAAUUCGUGGUGUAGCGGUGAAAUGCGUAGAUAUUACGAAGAACUCCAGUUGCGAAGGCAGCUUACUAAACUGCCACUGACAUUGAGGCUCGAAAGUGUGGGUAUCAAACAGGAUUAGAUACCCUAGUAGUC